rnacentral:lncRNA from 13 species
GCGCAGGAAAACACACCUUUGAACUGAGAGCGCACGCAGGGCUACAGAGACAAUUUAAAGCUGUGGUUCUAGCCUACAGUUUGAUUUAUAGCCUUGGCCACUAUUAUAUAACAUAUCUCCAGUUUUAACCCGCCUCCAUAUGUGACAGUUAUUUUUUGUCUCAGUGCCACUAAACAAAUUGACUUCUCCUCCCUUCUGUCCCUUCCUUGCCUUUUGUAUUUUUCUCUUGCUUGUUGGUUUUGUCUGUGAAGCCGCCGGAUGACCAGAGCACGGAUUUCACCUCGUCCUUGAGAGAGACAGGAGAGAUAAGAAUAGAGAGAGCGCGACACACACACAUUACUCCUACACACAGCGACCGAUCCGACAUCGAAACACGAGGAAGACGCAAUCACCGAGACCCGGGUGAAGCCUCUCUCUGAUGGGUAUCCAGUCCACCCAGUCAUCUCUUCAGGGACGUUAGUAGGGGUCAGUGGAGCCAAGUCUUCUCUCGCCCUGGACUAAAGUGACCCCAGUUUCAGAACUGAACCAUACAGCAUCACCACUCACUGACUGGUAAGGAUAGUUAAUGAUAGAAUAUAU